GGGGCUGAUUCUGGAUUCGACGGGAUUUGCGAAACCCAAGGUGCAUGCCGAGGGGCGGUUGGCCUCGUAAAAAGCCGCAAAAAAAUAGUCGCAAACGACGAAACCUACGCUUUAGCAGCUUAAUAACCUGCUUAGAGCCCUCUCUCCCUAGCCUCCGCUCUUAGGACGGGGAUCAAGAGAGGUCAAACCCAAAAGAGAUCGCGUGGAUGCCUUGCCUGGGGUUGAAGCGUUAAAACGAAUCAGGCUAGUCUGGUAGUGGCGUGUCCGUCCGCAGGUGCCAGGCGAAUGUAAAGACAGACUAAGCAUGUAGUACCGAGGAUGUAGGAAUUUCGGACGCGGGUUCAACUCCCGCCAGCUCCACCA
rnacentral:tmRNA from 46 species